rnacentral:rRNA from 1 species
CAGUAGCCACGGUAAUACAGAGGGUGCAAGCGUUAAUCGGAAUUACUGGGCGUAAAGCGCGCGUAGGUGGUUUGUUAAGUUGGAUGUGAAAUCCCCGGGCUCAACCUGGGAACUGCAUCCAAAACUGGCAAGCUAGAGUAUGGUAGAGGGUGGUGGAAUUUCCUGUGUAGCGGUGAAAUGCGUAGAUAUAGGAAGGAACACCAGUGGCGAAGGCGACCACCUGGACUGAUAAUGACACUGAGGUGCGAAAGCGUGGGGAGCAAACAGGAUUAGAUACCCGGGUAGUCCCUGUCUCUUAUAC